UCGGAGGUGAAAUCCCCGGGCUUAACCUGGGAACUGCCUUUGAAACUGUUUAACUAGAGUAUGAUAGAGGAAAGUGGAAUUUCUGGUGUAGAGGUGAAAUUGCUAGAUAUUAAAAAGAACAUCAUUGGCGAAGGCGCUUUACUGGUCCAUUACUGACGCUGAGAUACGAAAGCGUGGGUAGCGAACAGGAUUAGAUACCCUGGUAGUCCACGCCGUAAACGAUGUGUGCUAGACGUUGGGGGGAUUUUUCUUUAGUGGCGGAACUAACAUAUUACACCUCCUGCGGGGGAGACCGCCCGGUUAAAACUCACAUGAAUUGACGG
rnacentral:rRNA from 1 species